rnacentral:rRNA from 1 species
CAGUCGCCGCGGUAAUACAGAGGGUGCGAGCGUUAAUCGGAUUUACUGGGCGUAAAGCGUGCGUAGGCGGCUUUUUAAGUCGGAUGUGAAAUCCCUGAGCUUAACUUAGGAAUUGCAUUCGAUACUGGGAAGCUAGAGUAUGGGAGAGGAUGGUAGAAUUCCAGGUGUAGCGGUGAAAUGCGUAGAGAUCUGGAGGAAUACCGAUGGCGAAGGCAGCCAUCUGGCCUAAUGCUGACGCUGAGGUACGAAAGCAUGGGGAGCAAACAGGAUUAGAUACCCCUGUAGUCCCUGUCUCUUAUAC